rnacentral:misc_RNA from 1 species
CCGAGUACCGGGUCUCCGGGCCCUACUCCCACCCUUUGUGUACCUACCAAACUUUUCGUUGCCUCGGCGGGGUCGAUCCCCAGGGCCCCUAACCGGGCCCUGCUGGGGGACCCGCCGGGGGGACACCACCUAAACUCUUGUCAACCGUGACGUCUGAGAAACAUAUAAAUAAUUCA